GUGGGGAAUAUUCCGCAAUGGACGAAAGUCUGACGGAGCAACGCCGCGUGAGUGAUGAAGGUUUUCGGACUGUAAAGCUCUGUUGUUUAGGACGAAAGUGCCUGUUGCAAAUAGUUACAGGUAUUGACGGUACUGAACGAGGAAGCCACGGCUAACUACGUGCCAGCAGCCGCGGUAAUACGUAGGUGGCAAGCGUUGUCCGGAAUUAUUGGGCGUAAAGAGCAUGUAGGCGGGACGCUAAGUCUGUUGUGAAAAUGCGGGGCUCAACCCCGUAUUGCGAUGGAAACUGGGUUUCUUGAGUGCAGGAGAGGAAAGGGGAAUUCCCAGUGUAGCGGUGAAAUGCGUAGAUAUUGGGAGGAACACCAGUGGCGAAGGCGCCUUUCUGGACUGUGUCUGACGCUGAGAUGCGAAAGCCAGGGUAGCGAACAGGAUUAGAAACCCGUGUAGUCC
rnacentral:rRNA from 1 species